rnacentral:rRNA from 1 species
GAUGAACGCUGACAGAAUGCUUAACACAUGCAAGUCGAUGGGGAAGUGGUGCUUGCACCAUGGUAACCAUGGCGGACGGGUGAGUAACGCGUAAGGAACUUGCCUGCGGGACUGGGAUAACAGCAGGAAACUGCUGAUAAUACCGGAUAAGGUCAUUAAGCUGCAUAGCUUAGUGAUGAAAGGAGACGCCUGCGGAGAGCCUUGCGUCCUAUUAGCUAGUUGGAGGGGUAACGGCCCACCAAGGCGAAGAUAGGUAGCCGGCCUGAGAGGGUGGACGGCCACAAGGGGACUGAGAUACGGCCCUUACGCCUACGGGAGGCAGCAGUGGGGAAUAUUGGACAAUGGGGGCAACCCUGAUCCAGCAAUUCUGUGUGCACGAAGAAGGUUUUCGGAUUGUAAAGUGCUUUCAGCAGGGAAGAAGGAAGUGACGGUACCUGCAGAAGAAGCGACGGCUAAAUACGUG